rnacentral:tRNA from 3 species
GGCCGGUUGGCAGAAUGGUUAUGCAGAGGAUUGCAAAUCCUUUGAUAUCGGUUCGAUUCCGGUACCGGCCUCCA